CCUACGGGAGGCUGCAGUGGGGAAUAUUGCACAAUGGGCGCAAGCCUGAUGCAGCCAUGCCGCGUGUGUGAAGAAGGCCUUCGGGUUGUAAAGCACUUUCAGCGGGGAGGAAGGCGGUGAGGUUAAUAACCUCAUCGAUUGACGUUACCCGCAGAAGAAGCACCGGCUAACUCCGUGCCAGCAGCCGCAGUAAUACGGAGGGUGCAAGCGUUAAUCGGAAUUACUGGGCGUAAAGCGCACGCAGGCGGUCUGUCAAGUCGGAUGUGAAAUCCCCGGGCUCAACCUGGGAACUGCAUUCGAAACUGGCAGGCUAGAGUCUUGUAGAGGGGGGUAGAAUUCCAGGUGUAGCGGUGAAAUGCGUAGAGAUCUGGAGAAAUACCGGUGGCGAAGGCGGCCCCCUGGACAAAGACUGACGCUCAGGUGCGAAAGCGUGGGGAGCAAACAGGAUUAGAUACCCGUGUAGUC
rnacentral:rRNA from 1 species